CAGAACAAGAAAGUAUGAGGACG
rnacentral:piRNA from 1 species